rnacentral:misc_RNA from 1 species
GAUGAAGAACGUAGCAAAAUGCGAUAAGUAAUGUGAAUUGCAGAAUUCAGUGAAUCAUCGAAUCUUUGAACGCACAUUGCGCCCGCCAGUAUUCUGGCGGGCAUGCCUGUCUGAGCGUCAUUUCAACCCUCACGCCCCUAGGGCGUGGUGUUGGGGAUCGGCCAAAGCCCGCGAGGGACGGCCGGCCCCUAAAUCUAGUGGCGGACCCGUCGUGGCCUCCUCUGCGAAGUAGUGAUAUUCCGCAUCGGAGAGCGAUGAGCCCCUGCCGUUAAACCCCCAACUUUCCAAGGUUGACCUCAGAUCAGGUAGGAAUACCCGCUGAACUUAAGCAUAUCAAUAAGCGGAGG